AUUUUAAAUCUAAUUUAUUUUUAUUUUAAUUAUAAAAUUUUGAAUCUAAAAAAUUAUUAAAAUUAAAUAAAAUCUUGCAAAUAGACGGUAUGAGUAACAUGUUGCACUAUUUUUAUGACUUCUAAAAUCUUAACUUUUAUUUUCAUCUAUCAAAAAAAACCAUCAUUUUCAUUAUUGUCGGCCGGAUGCUUUUUUCUAACAAAAUAACCUUUACAAUAAUCGCAUUUCAGUGAAAUUAUUAAAAUACUUAAAUUACUGUAAUAAUCGGCCAAGUAAAGGAAGCAAAGUCUGAAAUUAUUAAGAUAAAUAAUCGGCCAAGUCGAGAGGGAAGCAGAGUCUGAAUCGUGGCAGAGUAUGAAUCGUGCGGUUUAUAUCGAAAAACAAGGCAAAAGAAGAAGAGAUUUAUCCUGAAUAUCUCACUCUACUUUCUACCCUCUCUCUGAGUCUAUUCCACUUUGUCGUUUUUUCCUUAUCUUCCCCUUGUUGCUGGACAAGAGUUACAGCUUCUCGGGUUCAAGACCAAAUCGGAGAAGUUCCAGGAAGAUUCAAUUUCCGACCAAAAAGGUGCCGGAAAGCCAAGAUCUGGCAGCUCCCAAAAACCGUCAAAUAGUCCAGAGAAGAAGUGAGCGAAGAUUAGCCCCAAAGCAAGCAUCCGGGCCAGCAUUUGGCCAGAAAGGUAGGCUUCUGGUGAUGAUUUGAUCAGAAAGUGCGGUUUUCAGUCAGAAAUUGGCAGAAAAGUGAGCAUCCAGCAAGGAUUUGGCUGUGGAUUCCGGCUAGAAAUUCGCCGGAAAGUGAGAAUUCCAGAGAGAAGUUGGCCGGAAUUGAUUGAUAGGAAGGAAAUGAAGAUUCAGUGUGAUGUUUGCGAGAAGGCGAAGGCGGCGGUGCUCUGCUGCGCGGAUGAGGCCGCUAUGUGCUGGAGCUGCGACGAGACCGUGCAUGCCGCCAACAAACUUCCAUUGCUCCUCAAUUCAUCGCACCAUGCCAGUCCUGAACCUGACAUUUGCGAGCCAUCAAUGGCGAGAAUCAAGACUAGAGCAAGCUGGAACUUGCCUUUAAAUGGCUUGAGCUUUUUCUGUUUUUUGGGACCCAACAGAGAGCUCUCCCCACGUUCUCCUUCAGAGAUCCAAAGCCUCUCAAUUGAAACAACCCGUUACUUCUUCUCAGCCGGAAGUAGCAGAAACUCGCCGGAAUUUUGAACCCACCUCUUUUCCUGGAGGAGGCCAUAAUGGCAAGAGUUUCAGAGGAGGUGGGUUUCCGGCAAGUUGGGGGUGAAGCUCACAAAACAAUUUGCUUUUCUCGACAUUCUUUCUCUCUAGACAGUGGAAUGAGGAUUAGAGCAAGCUUGAGCUCGUCUUUCAAUGGCUUGAGCUUCUUCUUUUUUUUUUGGACCCAACAAAGAGCUCUCCACAUCUUCUCUUUCAGAGACCGGAAAACUUUCAAUCGAAAGAACCCAUUACUUCUUCUCGGCCGAAAGUUGCAAGAAGGCGCUGCAAUUUUGAACCCACCUCUUUUCCUAGCAGCCAUAGUGGCCAGAAUUUCAGAGGGGGUGGGGUUUUCCAGCCAGUUGGGGGUGAAGCUCACUAAACUGCUUGCUUUUCUGACAUUCUCUAAGUGGAAGCAGUGCAUCUUGCCUUGCCUUGUUGUUUAGAGAGAGAUAGCGAGGGGGCGAUUAGAGAGAGAGAGGCAAGUAGAGAGAGAGAGGCGGGUAGAGAGAGAAAGGGAGUUGGGAGAAGCUCGAGUUUGAUUCAAAGUGGAUCCCCUUUAUCACCAUGCAAGAGUUUGAUUCAAAGUGGAUCCCCUUUAUCACCAUGCAAGAUUAUUACGGAAACUUGAUCUUCAUAUUGAGCUUCAUCCCCUCCUUAGUAAAGUGUACCUCCGCUUUCUUUUUUGGACAUUCAUAUGUACGAUGUUUUAUUUCAUUGCAUCGGUAACAAGUGAUCUUUGAAA